rnacentral:tRNA from 1 species
AGCUCUGUGGUGUAUGACACAUUAGAUUGCAAAUUUAAAGAUGUGGGUUCGCGCCUGCCGGAGCUU